GCUGGAAUUCGCCCUUAGAGUUUGAUCAUGGCUCAGGAUGAACGCUAGCGGCAGGCUUAAUACAUGCAAGUCGAGGGGCAGCGCGGGUAGCAAUACCUGGCGGCGACCGGCAAACGGGUGCGGAACACGUACAGAACCUUCCUUCGAGCGGGGAAUAGCCCGGAGAAAUCCGGAUUAAUACCCCAUAAUAUUUUUAGGUGGCAUCACCUGAUAAUUAAAGAUUUAUCACUUGAAGAUGGCUGUGCGGCUGAUUAGGUAGUUGGUGUGGGUAACGGCCCACCAAGCCUUCGAUCAGUAACUGGUGUGAGAGCACGACCAGUCACACGGGCACUGAGACACGGGCCCGACUCCUACGGGAGGCAGCAGUAAGGAAUAUUGGUCAAUGGACGCAAGUCUGAACCAGCCAUGCCGCGUGAAGGAUGAAGGCCCUCUGGGUUGUAAACUUCUUUUAUAUGGGACGAAAUGCAGUUAUUCUUAGCUGUUUGACGGUACCAUAGGAA
rnacentral:rRNA from 1 species